rnacentral:rRNA from 1 species
AACUUUCAACAACGGAUCUCUUGGUUCUGGCAUCGAUGAAGAACGCAGCGAAAUGCGAUAAGUAAUGUGAAUUGCAGAAUUCAGUGAAUCAUCGAAU